GGAUGUGGAAGCAGUAGGCAUUUACACACAGUGAGUGGUGGCAUAUUUACAGUAGAUAGGACUUUCUAUUAUGUAGACAUAGGCACACCUACUACACACACACACACACACACACACACACACACACACACACA